GAAGUCAUUAUAACAUUCAAGGUAGGUAAAAAUUCCAAUGAUUCUAUUUGCAGGAUUUCAACAAAGAAAGAAAUUACACAGCUGUACACGUUAACUUAUUCUAGAAAAAAAACUGCAUUCACAGAAACAGAAUUAACUCGCUCAUCUGGUAGACUGACGUCACAAGGAUCGUCAUGUUGACCAAUCCGUUCGAACGAGAUAGGGUAACUGAGUUUUAUAACUUGAUAUGGGAUGAAGUGUCUCCAGUACUCGCCAAACAAGGGAGUGGACAUCGGUUCUCAGACAAGCAGACUGGAUGUGUAUGAGGACUACGUGCUGAUACAUGUUUGUCCAAUGAUACGUGUCACUAUCUCUCUCAGCACUGAAUCUACAACAUACAGCGAAUUUUAUCAUAAAUAACACUCUAAAGAACUUCAUCAUCAUUCGUUACUAUUGCAACCGUGUAGGAAAUCAAUAUGUAAAAUUUCACUAUCGAACUAAAUAAGGUAGACGAGUACCAUUGCUGCAUUGUUUGGCAAUGACUGAAUCAAGCAAUUGUAUAUUACUACAUGAUACAAUGGGAGAUGGAUCUUUGGAUGUGAGAAUGGUUCUCAGGUGAAAACAAAAUUGACCCCCAUAAUUCACAGGGCCAAAUAGAGGGGAAACACGUUGACCAACUUUAAAUAAAAAGCGCUGAAAAACAUUAGCGUACAAUUGAAUCCAAGUGUGUUUCAAUGACGACACUGUUGUGAAUUACGUCAUUAGCUCUGUGUGCCGUUCACGUUUAAAUAUUGAUGACACACUACUCAAAAACCCAAAACACCAAUGUUCACCACACUUUCAGAUUAAGACAUAAGGUUUGGAGAUAAGUCUAUCAUGUUUUAUCAUAUAUGGCCAUGAACACCCAUGAGAAUGAAGCCAGAAAAAGUCAACAUUUUCCAAUGUUGAUUUUGUUUUGUAUGACAUAAAACAUUUACUAAC